AAAGUCGUAACAAGGUUUCCGUAGGUGAACCUGCGGAAGGAUCAUUAUUGAUUUAAAGAUGUGCUGGCACUCCUUUAUAGGUUUGCAUGUGCACUCUGCAAAAUCUCCUUCUCUACCCCAUUGUGCACACUCCAGUAGGCAAACAGAGGUUCAUAGAGUAAUCUAUGCAAUCUUAUUUGCCUAUGUUUUUAUCAAACACCAAUAACUAGAAUGUUUUAUAGUAAGCUUUUAAAAGCUGAAAUUUAAUACAACUUUCAACAAUGGAUCUCUUGGUUCUC
rnacentral:misc_RNA from 1 species